rnacentral:rRNA from 1 species
GGAAUAUUGCAAAAUGGGCGAAAGCCCGAUGCAGCAACGCCGCGUGGGCGAUGAAGGCCUUCGGGUCGUAAAGCCCUUUUUGAGGGGAUGAGGAAGGACAGUACCCUCAGAAUAAGCCUCGGCUAACUACGUGCCAGCAGCCGCGGUAAAACGUAGGAGGCGAGCGUUAUCCGGAUUUACUGGGCGUAAAGCGCGUGCAGGCGGAUUGGAGAGUUGGAUGUGAAAGCUCCCGGCUUAACUGGGAGAGGUCGUUCAAUACUUCCAGUCUUGAGUGCAGUAGAGGGAAGUGGAAUUCCGGGUGUAGUGGUGAAAUGCGUAGAUAUCCGGAGGAACACCAGUGGCGAAAGCGGCUUCCUGGACUGUAACUGACGCUCAGACGCGAAAGCUAGGGUAGCAAACG